rnacentral:hammerhead_ribozyme from 1 species
AUCCAGAUGACGAGUCCCAAAGAGGAUGAAACGCGCGUUCUGAAU